rfam:Dipodomys ordii contig_20655, whole genome shotgun sequence.
GGGAAGGUGGCUCAGUGGUAGAGUGCUUGUCUUGCAGGCAUGAGGCCUUGGGUUUGAUUCCUCAGCAUCACA